UACGUAGGGUGCAAGCGUUGUCCGGAAUUAUUGGGCGUAAAGAGCUCGUAGGCGGUCUGUCGCGUCUGCUGUGAAAACUCAGGGCUUAACCCUGAGCUUGCAGUGGGUACGGGCAGACUAGAGUGUGGUAGGGGGAGACUGGAAUUCCUGGUGUAGCGGUGAAAUGCGCAGAUAUCAGGAGGAACACCGGUGGGCGAAGGCGGGGUCUCUGGGCCGUAACUGACGCUGGAGGCGCGAAAAGCGUGGGGAGCGAACAGGG
rnacentral:rRNA from 1 species